rnacentral:rRNA from 1 species
GUGGUUUUGGAUGGACUCGCGGCCUAUCAGCUUGUUGGUGGGGUAAUGGCCUACCAAGGCGACGACGGGUAGCCGGCCUGAGAGGGUGGACGGCCACACUGGGACUGAGACACGGCCCAGACUCCUACGGGAGGCAGCAGUGGGGAAUAUUGCACAAUGGGCGCAAGCCUGAUGCAGCGACCCCGCGUGAGGGAUGAAGGCCUUCGGGUUGUAAACCUCUUUCAGUAGGGAAGAAGCGAAAGUGACGGUACCUGCAGAAGAAGCGCCGGCUAACUACGUGCCAGCAGCCGCGGUAAUACGUAGGGCGCAAGCGUUAUCCGGAAUUAUUGGGCGUAAAGAGCUCGUAGGCGGUUUGUCGCGUCUGCCGUGAAAGUCCGGGGCUUAACUCCGGAUCUGCGGUGGGUACGGGCAGACUUGAGUGAUGUAGGGGAGACUGGAAUUCCUGGUGUAGCGGUGAAAUGCGCAGAUAUCAGGAGGAACACCGAUGGCGAAGGCAGGUCUCUGGGCAUUAACUGACGCUGAGGAGCGAAAGCAUGGGGAGCGAACAGGAUUAGAUACCCUGGUAGUCCAUGCCGUAAACGUUGGGCACUAGGUGUGGGGGACAUUUCCACGUUUUCCGCGCCGUAGCUAACGCAUUAAGUGCCCCGCCUGGGGAGUACGGCCGCAAGGCUAAAACUCAAGGAAUUUGACGGGGGCCCGCACAAGCGGCGGAGCAUGCGUAUUAAUUCGAUGCAACGCGAAGAACCUUAACAAGGCUUGACAUGAACCGGAACGGCGCA